UGUACACGCUGUGACUAGCAUAUCAAUAAGCGGAGGAAAAGGCUGCGGAACUGAACGACCGCUACCUACGCUUAGGAUGUUGACGAGACUGUCGAUCUCAUCUAUACAUGACUCUGCGCAUAUCAAUAAGCGGAGGAAAAGAAACUAACAAGGAUUCCCUCAGUAACGGCGAGUGAAGCGGGAAGAGCUCAAAUUUGAAAUCUUCAAGGGUUUACUCUUUACGAAUUGUAGUUUAAAGAAGUGUUUUCUGCUGAGGUUUUGGUAAAAGUUCUUUGGAAUAGGACAUCAUAGAGGGUGAGAAUCCCGUAUUUGACCAUUACUUUCAACUUUGUGAUACACUUUCAAAGAGUCGGAUUGUUUGGGAAUGCAGUCCAAAAUGGGUGGUAAAUUUCAUCUAAAGCUAAAUAUUGGCGAGAGACCGAUAGCGAACAAGUACCGUGAGGGAAAGAUGAAAAGAACCUUGAAAAGAGAGUUAAACAGUACGUGAAAUUGUCAAAAGGGAAGCGUUUGACACCAGUGUUGUUUUUCUGAAAAUCAAUUAAAGAACUGUUUAUGCUAAGUUGUUUAGACUUUAUCAGCUAACUGUCUAGUUUUGAGCUUUUCUUUAAUGCACUUUUCAGUUAACAAGUCAACAUCAAUUUCUUUUGCUGUAAAAAAGCUUGAGGAAGGUGGCUUGAGAUUCGUCUUAAGUGUUUAUAGCCUCUUGCCUAUGCAGUCGGAGAGAUUGAGGUCUGCAGCGUAGACUCCUUCGGGGCUAAAUGCAUUUGUGCUAAGUUAUAGCAUUUUAUAGACAACUUGUUGACUAUGAUUUGUCUUGUAGCUUACUCGCUUAUGUUAUUUUACCUACGCUUAGGAUGUUGACAGCAGUAUAGACUGU
rnacentral:rRNA from 1 species